rnacentral:rRNA from 1 species
GACGAACGCUGGCGGCGUGCUUAACACAUGCAAGUCGAACGGAAAGGCCCUGCUUUUGUGGGGUGCUCGAGUGGCGAACGGGUGAGUAACACGUGAGUAACCUGCCCUUGACUUUGGGAUAACUUCAGGAAACUGGGGCUAAUACCGGAUAGGAGCUCCUGCUGCAUGGUGGGGGUUGGAAAGCUUCGGCGGUUGGGGAUGGACUCGCGGCUUAUCAGCUUGUUGGUGGGGUAGUGGCCUACCAAGGCUUUGACGGGUAGCCGGCCUGGGAGGGUGGCCGGCCACCUUGGGCCUGCGAUACGGCCCAGACUCCUACGGGAGGCAGCAGUGGGGAAUAUUGCACAAUGGGCGGAAGCCUGAUGCAGCAACGCCGCGUGCGGGAUGACGGCCUUCGGGUUGUAAACCGCUUUCGCCUGUGACGAAGCGUGAGUGACGGUAAUGGGUAAAGAAGCACCGGCUAACUACGUG